CAAAGGUGAAAGAAGUGGGUGGAAACUUGCGCUGCCGUCCAGGAAGAGAAGUGAGUGAGUAAGUCGGCUGCAAUAUUUAACAGUGCCUCCGGCCCCGCCGCCCGCAGACCCGCCUCGACGGGAGCCGAAGCUGUCGGAUGGAGACACAGCUGGCUGGAGCUGGGGAAGCUGACUCGCACUGGCUGCUUGGCUCUGAGAACUGAAUUCCAUAGGCGUUAAAGCCUCCAAAAUGCCCUAUGGAUUCAGUUCUGCAGCUGGGCAGCAACUGAGCCUCAAACCUUCAGGAAGAAAAGGCAACUGUGAGCUCUUCCUACAAGGAAUAUGUAAAUCUUUGCUCCUGCACAGAGACCAGAUUAGGGGUGGAGGGGAGUUAUGGCCAUCACAGAAAUAUCUGCUAUCAAAGAGCUACUAGAGGUUUGUGGCACAUCUUCCCCCAAGGGAAAAAAACCACACAACUAUAGAAUGUUUUCUUCCUUCUGGAAGUGAAAUGGCAUUUUAGAAAAUAAAUACAUUACUACCUCCUGA